CUCUGAUAAAUUUCGAUCUCUGCUGUUAAUCCCUGAUCCCUCAUUAAACCUCUGCUAACCCUGCCACUCACUGCUGGACUGCUGCGAAGAGCACGAGAUGAUAAAACACGCGGCUGCCUUCACAUCAUGUCCUUCCAGCUUCACGGGGAUCCCUGUGGUGAGUAGAGGAGGAGAUGGGCACAGACACUGCCUUGGCGAUGUGAGCAUCCCAGGUCUGGACACAAAUCUGCUUUUGCAUCACAGCCAUGGCUUUCUUGGAGAGCAGAGCCCCUGCACACCGUGUAAACCUUGUGUCUGCACCUCAGCAUGCUUCCUUUCUUCAGGAGUGGUAUCUGAUGCUUGCAGUGAUCUUGGGAUAGGGGUUGAGUGGGGCAAAACAUCACAGUGCCCAGAGCUACAAAGGCCAGGUGGUUCCCUAGUAUCUAAUGAGAGCAAUUACCCCCUGAGAUGCCGAAAAGCCUCCCAGCAACCCAGUGCACAGCUGGGCUGUAAGAAAGCCCCACCAGCAGCUCUGCAGAGGAGGCAGACAGACUUGAGGACUGCGCUUGCUGUCUCAGUGAUCUCUGUGCUUUGUUUGGAGUUUUGUUUUGAUUUUUUUUUUUUAAAUCAUCUUGUGCUUGGUUUGAAGUUUAGUGGUAGUGCUCCAGAGCCACCAGCAGAUCUGUAACCCCCCCAGGCAGCUGCCUGUAGGAUUACUAGAACUUCAUCCCACAAACAUGCAGGUCCUGGCCCCAACCUAAAAUCUGCACCACUCUACCACAGACCUAGCUCUGUUUUGCUUCUGGAGUGCUGUAAGAGCAGCAGCUGGCAGCUAUUUGCUAGAAGCAGUUAAUUGACCAAAGGCUGCGCACAUGGAGUUUGCUUUCAGAGAAGGAUGAAGAAAGAGAAGGCGUGGACAAGGUGGGAAAGAGAGGGAGCCACCUGGUACACUUCCUUUCUCAAUUCAGUGAUUUUAUUCAGUGGGGAAGAGAUCACGUCGCAUCUUGUUCUUUAAAGCAGUGUAAAAGGCAGGCAUGACUCUGCGUGGUGGUAUUGGGGUGAAAGCACCAGCCCUGUACUGAGAAUGUGAACCUGUAAGAGAGCUGCUGCUGGACCUCUGCCCCCAGCUCUGAGCUUCCAGACCUGCCCGUCUCUGCUGCUCUCACCACGCUGAGGGAAGGAGCAUAAAACAAGUCAUCAACCCCAAAGGAGUAUCACAAAGCAAUGCUCUGCCUCAGAGAAAUUCACCGAGGUGUAAAGGAUCUUGUUCCUCACAUGAAGAUGUCAAUGCUGCCCAGACUUUGAAGGAGAUUUUGUGCACAGAGGCAAGUUUUUCACCAGCAACCUGAUGAAGUUCCUGGGUGUGGAGAGUAGUAGUAUGCUUGGACUCUGCAAGGGUGGAUUCAGAGGGAAAAACUGAGCUGUACGAGAAUGUGCUUUGAUGUUGAUAAACGUGCCUUGUGGAGGCAUUAGAAAAAAGAAAAAAAGAGGGGAAGAAGGAUGUUGAAAAGGAUGAUAAAGCAAGAAAAAGAUGCAUGGGAUUUGGAAGCAUUUGAAGAAACCUUUUUAUAAAGCUGUUCUAGGCACGUCCCGUCAAAUCUCUCCUGCUGUGAGGAAUUUUCAUGUUACUUUGCAGAUAAACUUGUUGAGAGCAUGCUGUCUGCCUCCAUGGUGACAGAACGGCGUCUCGAAGGAAACGGCCUUGCAUCAUCAUUUCUCCUUCAGUCUCAGGCAGCAUCUGUCACUGCAGAGCUGGGCUGUGAGCCGCGAAUUAGACCCAAGUCCUCCCUGGCCGGGGGAAGCUAAGUGGAGCUGCAUUUGGUUCAUCACAGGCUGGGUUUGUCAUGGUUUUUGCUUUGGUCUUAUUUUUGGGUAGUUCAGAUGAAAAUGAGGGAACACAGGAACAGAGAUAUGAAAGAGAGGAGGGAGGACGUAUAACUGGAUCACAAACUGGUCCAGGUGAAGACUGCCCAGAGGUUGUAGAGUCCCUUUUCUUCAAAAGCCCCCUGGACAUGGCCGUGGGCAACCUGCCCUGGGUGUCCCUGCUUGAGCAGGGCUUGGACCAGAGGGACACAGAGGUCCCUUCCGACUUUAACCAUUCUGUCAGUCUGUGAAGACAACAUUUGGGAUAUCAGAGGAAUAAAAAAUGUGUUUCCUUGGAGAAAUGCUGUGCUUAUCCAGGUUGUUCUCAGCUCCCACAGAGAUCUUUCCAAAAUGAGGCCAGCAAUCAUGGUGGGCCUCUGUGGCUUUGUGUUACAGGCAACAAGGACACAAGGCUUGAAUAGGGACUGGAGCAAGUCAACGGGAUGUGUGUGUGGGAGGAGACAGCUCACAUCUCCCCUACCUGCUCAGAGCUGUGCAACUCCAGUGAUUGCUAUCAGGGCUCCAGUCUUUUAGUCCAUUCUCCAUCUUUAUUCCACUUCCUUCUCUACAUUGCUGCCACGGCACUGCCUUGAAAGACCACAGACCCUCUCUUGGUUUGUUUUCCGCUUACAAUCCCACCAAAAACCACCUGAGACAUCUUUGAGGCCACCUGCAUGGAGCCAGCCAAGGAGUGGCUGUCCGGGAGGCCGCUGUUUGUUUCAAGCAGUGCUGUGCCCUCGGGUUGUUCCCACAUCUUGCCUGCUGCAUCCAUGCGAUCUUAUUGCACCGUCACCCACUGGUUGUUUCACUCGGCUGUUCCCAAAAUGGGAUCCCAGCUCCGUGAACCAGAAAUUGCUUAUUGCAUCUUCACACAGAAUCUAGCACAGGGGAUGCGAGCAAGGGCAUCAGCUGGUGAUUGAAAGGCAAGUAACAGCUGACAAUCCUGAUUGAAAUGUGUCCCAUGAAAAUAUUUUUCAGCAGAAAAUGGGCCUUUUUCAUUAAAUGGAUUUUUUUCUAUGAAACA